GUACACGUAGACGUGCAGCGUUGUGUAAGGCGAGGUUUCUCGGGGAUGGAAAGUUCAUCGUCAACUCGGACCAGCAACGCAGGCUCUUAUAGAAUAUCGUCGUUGCAUCCAUAUUUACACAUACGUUAAGUUUUACUCUACUUCAUUGUACGGCUGAGAGAAUUGGCGAUAGAGCGUCGCUGCUAAAACUGAUAGACGAUCCAAAAACACGGUGCCACAACGGCUACGCAGCGACAUACCCGUCAAAAGAUUUUUCGCUGUCUUCGACACGAAUGGAUCGAAGAGGGACGCAAUGUCGAGGACAAAUAGUACGGUCAGGUACGAAGAAUCGUUGUUAAGGAGAUUACCUAUUACACGAGGUGAGCACGAGGUACUAAGACGCGACGGAGGGACGCGAUAAACACGCGGACAAAAGUAGGCGAGAGAUGAUCUCGGAUGAGCCUGCUGGCGGGUGACGAUCUAACGCUUUCGAGUUUCUCGACAGCGGCGGACGUUUAGACGCCUCCGACUUAAACCUCGGGACUAAAGCGGCGAGUGCAAUAUCUUUGAAAGAACGGAACGAUACAAUAAGCUGAGCCAAAGUCACUACGAUUGUUUGUAGGCCGUUUCAAACUACGCACAUACCUUAUACGUAUAAUAUACACAUGCGAACUCUUCGCGGUUACUCUAGAACGACAGACACGUCCGUUACGGGGAUCCUCGGCGGUAGCUCGAGGUGUUCUAUAAAUAUCUAUUUGGUAAACCUUAAAUGUAGCCGACACCUCGAGAGUCGAUCGCCUUGGCGUUAAGCACCGAUAGAAAGAGAUUCUAAAGUUGAUAACUAUCAAAUCGGAGAUUCUUCGAUAAAAGAGGGAAAGCAAUGUCUAAAGAGAGAAGAAAGGACUAAGUAACGCCAGAGCGGUCAAGAUCGCAGGUACAAAUUGAUAAUAUCGUAACGCACGCAUCAAUUGACGUUGCGAUUAAUUAACGAUAAUCUGUCCGCGAACGUGUUCGUCGUAGCAAGAACUCUUAUUUUAUUUCCUGUAAGUUCUUAUAUUAAUAACGAUUACGCUAGCGCUACCAUUUUUUUUUCUCUUUAUGGCUAUUCUAUGAUUAACAACAUCAACAACAACAACACAUAUAAUAUAUCAACAUGAAUAUAUAUACAUAUAUAUUAUAUCUAUAUCCCGUUAGAGCUGUACUUAUUUUAUGUACACACACACAUGUAUAUGUAACGUACAUACGCGUGUACAAAUUGUACGCGUGUAUAUUACAUAAAUGUAGGAAGAGAACGAUGCUGAUCGUGUCCCAGGUAUGUGACAUUCGUACACAUACCAAUGCGCGGGAAAGAUCUCUCCGACAAAAUACACACAGCGGUUGAUCUGAUCUAGUCGAAGGACAUAAAUGCAUAGGUAGAUCACACGUAAAAAUGACUGUAAUCGAGGAAUUUGAUGAGACAGCAGCCAAGUAACUAUGUAAUACAGUUUUAUGGGAAAACGAAUUAAAAAUUUACACAAUCAGAAACAAAGCAACAAAUAAAUGUUACAAUAUUUAUGUUACGAGAUAAAUAUAGUAAUAUUCAAGAUGUGAGGUACAACUGUAUAAAAAAACAACUGCUGUGAUUUCGAUUUCUAAUUCCUUAAAUAACGAAGCUAAAAGCUCGGAUAAAUAUCAUUGGAACAUGAGAAAAACUUAUAUAAUUUGAAAUACGCAUUCCAUUUGCUCAUUCUUAUCGCUUAUAUCUCAAUUAUCUCAUACGCAUUCAAUAUCGUCAACCUCAAUGUGAUAAUAUAUAAUAACUUGGGUAACGAAAACAUAUCCAAAAAGAGAUUGCACAUGUCAAUUCUGUAAUCAACAUGAAAGAAAAGAUCAAUCACCUUUAUAUAUAUUAAUAUCGCAAACUCACAAACGAUAAAUUACGCUCGCGAAGUAAAGUAAGCGAAAUAAGCUCGUACUAAAAUCUGCUUUGUUAGACAGAGAGGCGAAACAUCGAAAAACUUACGAGUGUAACAAAUAGCAUAUUUCGGGAUAAAAAAAUCCCGAAAUAAAUAUCAGCAUGAAAAAAAUAUUAAUGUGUAAUAAUAGAAAUCCAUUAUACGAUAGCAUUUACAUGUUGCACUGUGUAUUUAAUCGAUUUUUCGGUUCAGCAUCUCUUGAGAUGCCGCAAAGGAUGCGUAUUUUAACAUGGCAUCCGUCCAAUUUUGCGACGUCCACGCGUAUUGAUCUUUUCACGUACAUUGCAAACUAACAGUCAAAAGAAAAAUACGCAUUGCGCUAAAUAUCGUUCGUAUUAUCCUUAUUACAAUCACCCGUAUUCGGAUAAAAUCAGUCGCAUCCAUUACAAUACAAGCUACAACCUCAUGAACAAUUGGUAACUUUGUUUAUAAAAAAAAAAAA
rnacentral:lncRNA from 1 species